rnacentral:rRNA from 1 species
AACGUAGGAGACAAACGUUAUCCGGAGUUACUGGGCGUAAAGGGCGUGUAGGCGGACUGUUAAGUCUGGCGUGAAAGCUCCCGGCUAAACCGGGAGAGGUCGUUGGAUACUGGCAGACUAGAGGGUGGUAGAGGCGUGUGGAAUUCCGGGUGUAGUGGUGAAAUGCGUAGAGAUCCGGAGGAACACCAGAGGCGAAGGCGGCCUACUGGGCCAGUACUGACGCUGAGCCGCGAAAGCCAGGGGAGCGAACGGG